UACGUAGGGGGCAAGCGUUAUCCGGAUUUACUGGGUGUAAAGGGAGCGUAGACGGAAUUGCAAGUCUGAUGUGAAAAUCCGGGGCCCAACCCCGGAACUGCAUUGGAAACUGUAUUUCUAGAGUGUCGGAGAGGCAAGUGGAAUUCCUGGUGUAGCGGUGAAAUGCGUAGAUAUCAGGAGGAACACCAGUGGCGAAGGCAGCUUGCUAGGCCGGAUCUGACACUGAUGCACGAAAGCGUGGGGAUCGAACAGG
rnacentral:rRNA from 1 species